rnacentral:misc_RNA from 1 species
AACUUUUGGCAACGGAUCACUAUGGGCGCACUUGCAUCGAUAACACCGAACGCACCAGCAGGACCAAUAUCCGAAUACAACGGGGCACGCUGGUACGCGCUCUACACUGCGCCGCGCCACGAAAAGCGGGUCGCCGAUCAGAUCGAUCGGCAAGGUAUCGCUUGCUUCUUACCUCUCUACCGCUCGGUGCGCCGGUGGAAGGACCGUCGCAAGGAGCUGGCGUUGGUGCUGUUUCCGGGUUACGUUUUCGUGCGGAUGGCGUUGCAGCACCGCUUGAGAGUGCUGCAACUUCCCGGUGCAGUGCGUCUGGUGACGUUUAACGGCCAGCCCGUUCCUUUGCCGGAAGCGGACAUCGAAAACAUGCAACACCAUCUUUCCUGCUCUGGAAACAUAGAACCGCAUCCCUACUUAAGCAUAUCAAUAAGCGGAGGCU